rnacentral:sRNA from 1 species
CCGAGACCGCGGCGGAGCGUACGGUCCCUGCAGUGCCUGCUGCUGAGGAGGCCACCGAAGCUCGGGGACGCGAGGAGCCGGCGUGGCCCUGGAAAGACGCCCCGAUCCGGACGCUGGUGCAGCGCAUCCACCAGCUGCAGGCUGAGCGCGCGCAGGGCUUCCGCCGACUGGAGGAGUGAGUGGGGGCGCGGAGGGGCUCAGGGUUCGGUCCCCCGCCCGCUCCGGGCGUGGGCGUGUUCUCGGCGGGCGUGCGUGGAGGAGGAGCUGGGUCCUUGUGCGGCUGCAGAGUCAGAUGGGGCGGGGAUUUCGGGGCACCGGGUCCUCACCUUCACGAGAAAGGCCCCACAGCACGUCCCCACUACCCGACGACUCAAUCCUCGUGGCUUCUCUCUCCCCCGCAAGAGCAGGGGUGGGCCUGUCUCGCGUUCCCCUGCGGGAGUCAGGAAGCGUCCUUCCUACCUACCAGUCCUCCCCUCUGGGGUCUGGGGACACUUCCUGGGGGCCUUUCAGGUGGUUGGCGCCGGUGCAGGGCCUGAGAGCCUGGGGGCGCGGCCUCAGGGUCCCCACCUGCCGCAGAGGCCACCGCCAGUACCUGCGCAGCAGCCCUGACUACGACUUCGCGCGCUACCGGAGCAUAGUGCACGAGGUGACCCAGGCCUUCGCCGCCGCCUCGCGGGAGGUGCUGGCUGUGGAAGCAGAGCUGGGCGGGCCUCGCAGGCAGCCGCUGCUCGCCGGCCACGUGCGCAGCCUGCAGGAGCUGGAGCAGACGCGGCUGGGCACGGUGGCCCUGCUGCAGUUGAUGGAGACGCCAGAGCUGGCGGGGCAGGAGGACGCUGUACGGAUGCAGCAGCUGAAAAUGAAGGUAAUUAAAACCAUGGAGGCGAUCAGCGAGGUUCUCCAGGACCUCAGGUUUGAUGCGGAAUCUGCCGAGUGAUGGCGGCUCCCCAGGGAUGCGCCGAGGGAGAUGGGAAACGGGGCGGAUGGCGCCCAGCCCAGCCCUAACCGCCAGCUGGCUGGGGUCGCGCCCCACUGCGCUGCUGACCUUCCUGCAGUUCCAGACACCGCCCACAAUAAAGAGCUC